CUUUGGGGGUUUUUAGUGCUGCUUUUCCCCUUUAAUGAAGUUGAACAAAGCUUGUUCAUCUCCAACUUCAAUUUGUCACUCACAACCGCUGUACCUACCAGGCUGAUGAUGCUACUGGUAAAGUAGAUACAAAAUUUACUCAUCAAAGUUUUUUACUCAUUAAAGUCUAAGCGUCAAUCAUUUUUAAACAGCAGUGACAAUCCUUGGUUAGCAGAAAUGUCAAAGAGUGGGUGGAACAUUCAUAACAAGGAGCUCUCGUGAUAGCUGGAAUAGAAUGGGAAGGAAAACAAGAUCACAGAAGGGAUCAAUGAUCAAUAGCAUCUGUAGGCAGAAAGAGGCUUCCCAUUAACUCCCCCAGCCAUGGCCUGGGGUUUUCAUACUGUCCUAUCUGCUGGCAUCAGUGUUUCUUUUCUGUUAUCGACCUGCAGGACGGCACCUGCGAGGAAAUCAAAAGUGCUGUUGGCAAUGAAGUGCACUUCUCCAGAAAUGUGAGAGGAGGAGUUAAACUGAGAGCUCAGCAGUGCAGGAGGAAGAGCACCAGGAAACUUGUGUCCCUUCUGGUGGGCAGGGGUCUAAAUCAGAAAGUUCAUCUGGAGGCUCAGCCUUGGCUUCAUGCAGCCCUGCUCUGGUGCUGGUGCCACUCACAGGUAAGAACCAACUGCAGGAGAGCAGAACUGUCCAGGUAAGGCUUUCAUAAUUUUGUUCUGCACAAUCCAGGGCCUGCACAACCAUUUCUGAUGUCCCUGGGGAGAAUCAGCCUCCUGCUGUGCUCCUGCAGCACAGAGCUGCUCUGCUGAACACUGCACAUGGUCAGUGUGGGAAGCCCAGAAUGGGACCCUGUGCUCUGGCCUAAAAGAGGAUUUAUCAAUGCAUUUCUAUGCAUUAAAGUAUUAAUGCAUCUCGACUUCUCCUGCUCAAGAAGUAUGGUCUGAUAUGGCAGUAUAAGAGCAGAGGUGAAAGGAAAACUCAGACCCCAUGAGGGAAGGAAUUUGUACAUUGACAAAGCAAAGAAAAUCUCAAAAAUACAAAUGUUUCAUCUUGUUUAUUGCUUCACUGAUUGCUAAACUAUGGAAAAAAAAAUUCCUGAUCAUCUUCUUAGAGGUCACUCCAGUUUCCCCAGUUAACCUUUAGAUGGCCUAAAAUGCUAACAUUUUCAAUUUAAUCCAUGAAAUAAAUGCAAAGUGAAAA